UGGGGAAUAUUGCACAAUGGGCGCAAGCCUGAUGCAGCCAUGCUGCGUGUAUGAAGAAGGCCUUCGGGUUGUAAAGUACUUUCAGCGGGGAGGAAGGGAGUAAAGUUAAUACCUUUGCUCAUUGACGUUACCCGCAGAAGAAGCACCGGCUAACUCCGUGCCAGCAGCCGCGGUAAUACGGAGGGUGCAAGCGUUAAUCGGAAUUACUGGGCGUAAAGCGCACGCAGGCGGUUGAUUGAGUCAGAUGUGAAAUCCCCGGGCUUAACCCGGGAAUUGCAUCUGAUACUGGUCAGCUAGAGUCUUGUAGAGGGGGGUAGAAUUCCAUGUGUAGCGGUGAAAUGCGUAGAGAUGUGGAGGAAUACCGGUGGCGAAGGCGGCCCCCUGGACAAAGACUGACGCUCAGGUGCGAAAGCGUGGGGAGCAAACAGG
rnacentral:rRNA from 1 species